AUAUCAGCAGAUAGACGGAUAGACAGAUAGAGAGACAGCCGAUCUGAGCAAUGGAUAAUGCUGCUGAUGCUCAAAGAACUGAUUUGAUGACCAUAACUCGUUAUGCUCUUAACGAGCAGUCCAAGCAUCCGGAGGCAUGCGGCGAUUUCACCAUCUUGCUCAACCACAUUGUUCUCGGUUGCAAAUUUGUCUGCUCCGCUGUUAGCAAGGCAGGUCUUGCAAAAGUAAUUGGACUUGCUGGAGAGACCAAUGUUCAGAGUUCUUUAUGAAGUUUUCCCAAUGUCAUUCUUGGUUGAGCAAGCAGGAGGUCAAGCUUUUACUGGCAAGCAACGGGCUUUGGACUUGGUUCCAAAGAAGAUACAUGAGAGGUCCCCAGUUUUCCUUGGAAGCUAUGCGGAUACUGAGGAAAUUAAACAACUUUAUGGGGCUACGUAAGGAAAUAACGCACAUUGUAUUCAUAAUAAAAAUAAACGCAUAAAAUUUUAUAUAUGUUUUUGUAAUAUAUAUAAAUUUUAGACUACAUGUUCUGGUGGGAUUUCAAUUUUGAUCAACUUGUUUGCAAUUUGACCAAUUUGGUCAUUGUGGUUCUA